rnacentral:rRNA from 1 species
GAUGAACGCUGGCGGCGUGCCUAAUACAUGCAAGUCGAGCGAACGGACGAGAAGCUUGCUUUUCUGAUGUUAGCGGCGGACGGGUGAGUAACACGUGGAUAACCUACCUAUAAGACUGGGAUAACUUCGGGAAACCGGAGCUAAUACCGGAUAAUAUUUUGAACCGCAUGGUUCAAAAGUGAAAGACGGUCUUGCUGUCACUUAUAGAUGGAUCCGCGCUGCAUUAGCUAGUUGGUAAGGUAACGGCUUACCAAGGCAACGAUGCAUAGCCGACCUGAGAGGGUGAUCGGCCACACUGGAACUGAGACACGGUCCAGACUCCUACGGGAGGCAGCAGUGGGGAAUCUUCCGCAAUGGGCGAAAGCCUGACGGAGCAACGCCGCGUGAGUGAUGAAGGUCUUCGGAUCGUAAAACUCUGUUAUUAGGGAAGAACAUAUGUGUAUGUAACUGUGCACAUCUUGACGGUACCUAAUCAGAAAGCCACGGCUAACUACGUG